GACGAACCGUGCGAACGUUAUUCGGAAUCACUGGGCUUAAAGCGCGUGUAGGCGGGGUGGCACGUCGGUCGCUGAAAGCCCCCGCUCAACCGGGGAAGGGGCGCCGAUACGACCACCCUGGAGGGACGUAGGGGGACCUGGAACUUCCGGUGGAGCGGUGAAAUGCGUUGAGAUCGGAAGGAACGCCCGUGGCGAAAGCGAGGUCCUGGACGUUUACUGACGCUGAGACGCGAAAGCCAGGGGAGCGAACGGG
rnacentral:rRNA from 1 species